rnacentral:lncRNA from 1 species
UGGGCCCUGUACUGAUCAGAGUGUUCAGGAGACGUGUGCACUUAUCAGGCUGCAGCCUAAACCCAGUCGCCACCCUGAGACCCUCAGAGGAGGAGCAACAGUGUCGGGACUCUGAGGCAGAGAGGAGGAUGACUGAGGCUCCUGCGGAGGCUGACACAGAUGCAGACAAGGAAGACACCCCCGGGGACAGUGGGCCAGGCCAUUCCCGUCCUAACAGGGAUUCCAUUCCUGAGGCUGCUUGGAACACCUCCGCCAGGCUUGGCCUCCACCAGGCCCCGCGGGGAGCACCAGGCUUCUCACAGCUGCAGCCCUGGCAGCCUGGAGGCUCAGAGGAGCCCAGGGGCCAAGGGCUGGCAUGAAGAAGCACCCCCGCCCCAGCCUCCCAGCCCCCUCUGCCCAGGCAACUCGACACUGUGGAGAGGGCCCCACUGUCGCUGGGUUGUUAUGCUGAGAAAUGGAACAUUGCUUAACCCCAAGGAGAAACCACAAGAAGAGAAAAACAUGCAAAGUCGCCACAGCUGGGCUGAGCGCUCUGUCUUCGGGCGGGCGGGCCGGGUGGGUCUGUGUUUGUUAAAGACAGAGAGAAGGC